GGUCCGGUGGCCUAGUGGCUAGAGUAUCCGCCUCGGAUGUGGGAGGUAGUGGGUUCGAUCUCCGCUUGAGUCA